AAAGACGGAGGAAGGGCAUAAUGUAACAUAAGAGAGAAAAUGAAGAAGAAGAAAAAAAAAAAACAAAGAACAUACUAACUCCAUUGCAUGUCCUUCUCAUGAUCCCUCAUUUCAUCAUCUCAUCAUAGAAACAACCCUCACACCUAUAUUAGAGUAAAAAAGGGCCAAAAGGGAGAGUAAAAUGAGAAAUUAUGAGAAAGAAGAAAAGGAAAGUUGGGGUUUCAAUAUAGGAGAAAAAGUUUAGAGUUCUUGCAUGUGGAGAAGGAAGAUGAAAACAUGAAGAGUAGUUAAGGUUUCACUUGUAGAAGAAUGAGUUAGAAUCAAACUUUGGGGUCUCAAAUCUCUUCUUAAGGUAACAUAGAAAAUCCCCUUAAAACCUCUCUUAGGUGUGCUUAGAGAUAUUGGUUGCAUGUUCCUAAUAUCUGUUCAUGAUUUAUAUAUUUAAGUAUUGAGAUAAUCCUACUUGAUUUAGUAUCAUUGAGUAUUAAUAAUGCAUGCUAGGUGUUUGUAUUAAUUACUAUGAAGAGUUGUUGUUUUCUUAUUGUUGUUGAGUGUUGUGGUUGGGUUUGUGAUGAGAUGAUGAUUGUUUAGUAUUGGUAAUUACUUGGUUUUAUGCUGAAUUUUGAAUUUAUUUUACUUAGUUGAUCAUAUGAACUUAAAAAUAUAAAGUUUGAAGUGAAAAUAGUAUAAUGUUGUCUUUGAACCUGUAUAGAUAUAUCUUUGGUAUUUUGUUCAUAACUUUCUCCAUAGAUAGUGUUUUGAGCUGAUUUCUAUCUCAUUAGAAAAUAGACUUAAUUACCUACGAAUUAGGCACUGGUUUCACUAUUUUUCAUUGCAAAUCGAUAGAGAAAAUUGAGUUACAAGUUGGAAAAUAAUAUGUUAUUCCGUUUUUGUAUAUGUAUACCUUAUUUUAUUAAACUGUACUAUUUGAAUGCCUAUUAUGCAGAAUAAAAAUUAUAUUUAUAAACUAGACAUCUUAGGAUUUCCAAAAUAUUAUCUUUUAUUCAAAUCGGACAUCGUUUGAUAUUUUAAUAAAAUUACUAAAGUUAUAGUGUUUUUGUAUAAAAAGAUUAUGACAUAACUAAAUUAAGAUGAGUAUAACAUAAGCAAUAUGAAUCAGUUUUGAGUGAAAUCAAUUGGACGAGAAAGCUUAUUCAUAUAUAUAUAUAAGGUUCAUUCUAGCUAGACUCUCCGUCUAUAUACGACGGGAGCGAGGAUAAAUGAGGAUAAGUGGGGCACCACUUACAGACUUAAUUACGUCCAAUCUUACCAAAAUAUGUUAUUCAAGUAGAGGACAUUGGGUGAAACCAAUGUAGUCUUUAUGACUUAUUUGUUACGUUGAGUUUAAGUCAUUAGAUUACCCAUGUCUAGUGGCUUAAAGCGUUUGAAAGAUUUGAGGCUAGAGGUAGAAAAGGUAUUUGAAUAUAGCUUACGAAGAAAUAAUAUUAUAUUAAUUUGAAGUAUAGUUUGCCGAGAGGAUCUUCCAUGCUUAGCACACUGACAUGGCUGUGAAACAUCAAUAAUUGUUUUUAUUAAAUCUAUGUUACUGAGUUUAUGCUCACUAUGUUGAGGGUGAUGUUUUCCAAGUAUCAGGUAAACGUUGAAAGUCUGAGGAGUAUCUGAAUUUGUUUACCAGUCCUUCAAUAUCAUGAGUCGGAUCACGUCUUGAGUCUAGAUUAAAGUCUUAGUUUAAUUAUGUCUCACUUGAAAGUUGUUUUAAAGUUGUAAGUAUUUAAAUAUUUAUGAAUUAAAAAUUUCAG
rnacentral:lncRNA from 1 species